AAUAGACUGCUUACUAUACCACUCAACAAAGAACAAUACGAUGCAGAACUAAAUACAAUCUUUCAAAUAGGCAUUAAUAACCAAUACUCUUCACAAUACAUACACAAUAUAUAUCAUAAAAAUAAACAAAAACACAUCACCAAUACAAUAUACCCACAUUACAAAACCAACAAUAAAUAUAUAUCAAUAGAAUACCAUCAACACAUACAUUACAAACUAAAAAACGCAUUAAAGUCACACAAUUUAAACCUCACAACAAGAUCGCACCCUACGUUACAAAAAAUACUCAAAAACACAAUGACACAAGAACCACACCAUCAACAAUCAGGCAUAUAUCAAAUAAAUUGUUCACAAUGCAACCGCAUAUACAUUGGCAUGACCACGCGUAAUAUACAAAUCAGAUUCAAUGAACACAAGAAAAAUAAACCUCACUCCGCUAUAGGCACACACAUACAAAAUACAAAUCACGACAUCAACAUUAACAACACUAAAUUAUUACACAAAUGCAACAAUUACCAUAAACUCACCAUACUAGAACACUUCGAAAUACAAAAAGCACUCAGAAACACCCACACAAUCACCACCAACGAAAUCACAGAAUUCAACACAUCACACAUAUAUAAUUUAAUACCCCCAUUCAAUAACCUACACAUACACGCCACUGCAAACAACAUAACCACACUUUAACACUUUAUAACCACACUUUACACAACGUUGCUACUAGUUUAUCUUCUAUAGUCAUUCCAUUUCCACUUUCGUCAGUAACACGCAACGCACUUCAUGACAUGUAUAAAUACGCUGCCUUUUAAACCUUGACGCUAGGCCUGAUGAUGGCAAUGUUGCCGAAAUCGAU